UGGCUCUCGCAUCGAUGAAGAACGCAGCGAAAUGCGAUAAGUAAUGUGAAUUGCAGAAUUCAGUGAAUCAUCGAAUCUUUGAACGCACCUUGCGCUCCUUGGUAUUCCGAGGAGCAUGCCCGUUUGAGUGUCUUGAAACCAUCGCCUCCCGGAUUCGCGUCCGGCGCGUGCGGACUUGGGGGUUGCUGCUGCAAGGCGGCUCCCCUUAAAUGCAUCGGUCGUGGCCCGCAGGCCCGCGUCUAUGGCGUUGUAUCACCCUCGCCUUUGCUGACCGGACCCAGUGCCCGACCCCGACCUGCCACUGGAGCGGCGGUCAAUCACUUAUGAGUUCUGACCUCAAAUCGGGUAGGACUACCCGCUGA
rnacentral:misc_RNA from 1 species